AAGGGAGGGGCUUGAACGGGGUAUUCAGUGUGGUUUUAACAUUGAGCGUAGUGGAGGAUCAACUGCUGACUGGCUCUCCUUCCUCUCCUCUCCUCUCAACUAAACUCCAGAGCUCUUCUUUUGUCCCGUUAAGAUUCACAGGGCGCCAUCAUGGAGGAUAUGGACUUUGAGCGGCGCCGGGAGCUGAGGAGGCAGAAACGGGAGGAGAUGCGCCUGGAGGCUGAACGCAUGCUCAAAAACGAUGACGACGAGGAGGAGGCUGCCCGGGAGAGGAGGCGCAGGGCACGUCAGGAGAGGCUGAGGAACAGGGAGGGCGAAGAGCCUAGCAGCCAGCCAGACAGUGACGUCAUGACCAACAACCAUAGCGUGACAGAAUCCGUGUCUGUGAGCAGCCCCUAUGGAGGUGGCGGGGACGACGAGGACCAGGCCUUGCAGGAACGCAUGGCCAAGCGCGAGGAGAGACGGCAGAGGCGCAUGAAGGAGGCGCUGGAGAGGCAGAAGCAACUGGACCCCACCGCCGUGGACGGCGGCGAUGGUGUCGGCUCGGAGAAGAACAGCACAGAGGAGGAGAGGCUCUCAUGGCGUAGCCGCCGUUAUCGUGAUACCAUGGAGGACGAGGAGAAGACUGAAAGCAGCAGCUCGAGGUGGGAGGAAAAAGAGCGAGAGGAAGACAGAGAGGAGGAAGAGGAGCCUGCUCUUGAGAGAGAAGAGGAAGAGGAGGAGCAGAAAGUUAUUGAAGCCAUACCAAGAAGGUCUAACCUGAGAGAACAGGCAUCAACAGAGGAGACUAUUAUGCAACACAAGGAUCUCAUUGAAGAAACCCAUUCGGUAGUCAGUGAAAGUUCAAAUCAGGCCAAGUCAGCAAACUCAGAGGCUGAGGAGGAUUCAGUAGCAUCAGGGGAGGCUGAAGAGGUCAACGAGAGGGAAGAGUCUCAGGAGGACCAGAUGAAGCAUAACGGAGGGCUGCAUGGCGAGGCGGCUCCCAAACAGCACAAGACACCCGAGAGGACUCUCAGCCGCGGCAGCGUCCGUUCCCCUGAGGUGACUGCUGGCGACGAGCAGGAUGACGAUGCCCGCCUGGAGGCAGAGCGCAAGCUGGAGGAGCUGAAGCGCCGGCGCGAUGAUGCAGAAAGCGAGGAGUUCGAAAGGAUGAGGCAGAAGCAGCAGGAGGCCGAAGUGGAGCUUGAGGAGCUGAAGAGGAAGCGGGAGGAGAGGAGGAAGGUGCUGGAGGAGGAGGAGAGGCAGCGGAAGCAGGAGGAGGCGGAACGGAAAGCCAGAGACGAGGAGGAGAAGAGGAAGAUGAAAGAGGAGAUUGAAAGAAGAAGGGCUGAGGCUGCCGAGAAGAGACAGAAGGUUGACGACAUCGUGGACGGGGAGGGGAAGCCAUUCAAGUGUGUCGGUUCUCGAGGAUCUUCUCUGAAGAUUGGAGAAAGAGCAGAAUUCCUGAACAAGUCAGCACAGAAAAGCUCUGUGAAGGCGUCUCAUUCUCCUGUGGUGUCCAAGAUAGACAACAGGCUGGAGCAGUACACCUCAGCUGCUCAGCGAGAGACCAAGGAGUCCAAAUCCCCUCGCUCCACCGUUUUGGAUCUUCCAGUGGUCACUGAUGUACGAAACAUUAAGAGCAUGUGGGAGAAAGGCAAUGUGUUCGGCUCACCCGGAAGUGGCGGAAGCCCUUUUAAGGAAGCAGCUGUGAUAAAGACGGGCGUGGCAGGCCGCAUCAACGACUGGCUGAAUAAAACCCCAGAGAGCGGCAAGACGUCAGGAGGAAGGCCAACGGACCUGAAACCCGUUGAUGUCACCAACAAGAGGAGUCUAUGGGAAAACAAAGGCGCCACUCCAACAAAGAACUCUCACAGCUAGUUGACCUCGGCAUUCAAUCUGGAAUCAGCCUGGAGAGAUGGCAGGAGGAAGAGAGACCAAAUCAGUCGCUAACGGUAUGGGACACUAAUGUCUUAAAGGGGUCACUAAAGCUGGGGACCACGGCAAUCCAGGAUUCUACCUUUGAACAUUGCUUUUCUAAUAACCAAAUAAGGACCAGAUCCCAUCGAGGAAUGACCCCAAGACCAGAGACGCUGUCCUCGCACUGUACUGAAACACCAGCUGCAUUUUUGCCAAGCGUAGUACAUUUGCACAAUGGGUUAAGCUUUGAAAAUAAAAACAAUGCUGUGAAAUUUGGACAUUAUAUACCCUCAAAAAAUUCCCAAUCAGGACAACAAAUUUUGAUUUUUUUUCUUUACUCCAGUGGACCUCUUUUAAAGUUCCCACAUUCCAAAGAGACAAAUGAAACCAGCUCUCUUCCUCUCAAAGAUGGCGUUCUAUCUCUCCUUUAUUUGUUUUUAAUUUAUAUUUAAAGAGACGGCUUCACUCAUCGCUAUUUUAUACUCAACAGCCACCUGUUCAGGAUAGAAAUAUAAGCACUUCUAGAUUUUAGCUGAUUCCACUUGUAUUAAGUCUUAACAAUAGCAGAGCAAAGGUCUGAAUAAUAUAAGUUAGCAUAUGUGACGUUUUGAGUAUCAUUGUAUCAUGUAUAACAUCUCUAUGCUCAUAAGUCUUUUUUCAUCUUAUUUUUAUUUAGUAUCAAACUCUUCACCAACGGACAGUUACUUAUGAAGGUGAAAAGAGUGCUGAAUAUUCAGAAGGCCAUUAUGACUUUAUUAUCCUUUUUGUCAUUUUAAUUUAAGUUUUAAUGUGGUUUAUCUUAUCUAGGUGUUUUUUUAAAGCUUUUGUUGAUCACUUUAUACAGUAAUGGGAAAAAUGUUUUUGCCUCCUUACAGAUUUCUUCCGUUUGUAUUUUAGGCACACUUAACUGUUUCAGAUAAAACAAAUUUUAUCGAAGAAAAUCUAAGUAAAGGUACAAAAUGCAGUUUCCAAACUGUGAUUUUAUGUUUGAUGAAAACUUUUUCGAACCAGCAGUCCAAUGUGAAAAUGGAAAUCUCCCCUGAUUAUUUCCAUAAUUAAAUGUGAUUAAUCAGUUUUUUUAGAAAGCUGAAUUCACUUUUGCUGCCUGAAGUGUAGAAUCAAGUCACUUUAAAAGAAUCUGUCUAACAACAUGAAGUAGGCUAAAAGAUGUCAAAAGCUUUACAAAUUUGAUCAAAAUAAAUUUAUGAACAGAUGAGAAAACAAGUCAUUAUCAACUCUGAAUAACUCAAAGAAAACAAAAUGAGGACGUUAGGUAGUCUAGUCAAAGUCUGAACCAAAACUAAAACACAAAUACAAAAUGUAUUUCUCAAAUAGUGAUUUUUUAUUAUAAUUAUUAUUUAUUUAUGGGGAAAAAACAAAUUAACCAACAAAACAAGUGCUGACCAAAAUAAACAGAAAGGCUCGUGUUUUCUAAGAAACAUCUUGAUUAUCUCCAAACCUUUUGAAAAAAUAUUCUGUGAAAUGAUGAGACAAGAGGGGGAGGUUUUUGGAAGGUGUGCAUCCUGUUAUAUCUGAAACAAACAGCGUUUAAGAACAGGAACAUCAUACCUACAGUCUAACAUGCUGGUGGUAGUAUGAUGGUCUGAAUGGCUCAAAGAAAAAAAAUGAAGGUUUUCAACUAGGCUACUCAAAAGUCCAGACUUAAAUCUGAUUGAGUUGCUGUGACAUAACCUUAAACGUUCAUGUUUGAAAAUAUUCCAGUGUGGCAGCAUUAAAAACAAUUGUGCAAAGGAGAGAGUAGGCCUGAACAGUGAUGUAAAAGGCUCAUUACCAGUUAUUGCAAAUGCCUGAUGGCAGCAUGUCAGUUACUAGGCUUGGGGGGCGGUUAGUUUUCACACAAGGCUCGGUUGGUUUUUUAAUAAAUUGAAUCAUCAUUUGAAAACUGUAUUUUUUAUUUAUUAGGGUUAUCUUUGAUAUAAAAAAAUUGUUGUAUUCAAAACAUUUAAGCAUCACAAAACCAGUAAAAUCGAGUUAAGCUCAAGGGGGCAAAUCCUUUAUCACAGCACUGUAAAAAAUAAUAAAAAAAUCUUCCUACGUUCCUCUUUAAAUGCUCCUGGUGCCUUUGCUGCUUGAAGCUGUUAUGUAUGGAAAAAGUGCAAAAAAAGGCUUAAGUUCAGUAUUCUGCCUUUACAGUAAUCUCUUAAAUGCCUCUUAUGCUCAAGCAAUACUCCUCAAAUUACAGGCAUGCAACGUAAAAUUCAGGCUGCCUAAGCAUGUAACGAGUUAGCAGUUUAAGGAUAUUUACCACUAUGUAAAACCUCUCGCCUUACGAUUGCAAUGAGAACGUUUCCAAUGGCUGAGAAAUGGAACCUGAAAGAAUCACAACAAAGAUUCUGUGAUUAGUUUAGUAUUUUUCUCUGACGUGUUUUUAAGUAGCUCGUAUCGUUGGUGCAGCACAAGCUUUGAUUAGUACAUGAACAAUUUGUCAGGGCAUUAAAUUGAUUAAUGUUUCUGCUCAACAGUCUGACAAUCACAUUCCUUUGGCUCCUGAAAAGAGCAGGGGAGCUGGACCAAAAUAUUUUUUAAAGUAAAUUAAUGUGAAAUUUUGUUUUAUCACAGUGGUUUUAUUGUGCUGUAUUUUUAUUUUUUACAACCUUGUGUCCUUUUUUCGUGUUUUUUAUGCUUUUUUCAAUUUUUAACCAGGCACUUGUUUGUGUAGCGCCAAGCCCAUGCAAACACACGCAUCUGUACUUGUAUCCUACUCUGUAUCUCAAUGUGUUAAACGUGGAUGGAUGUUUGUUACAUUGUACCAUGGACUCAACUGCUACAAUAAAGACAUUGAGGUAUUCCA